rnacentral:SRP_RNA from 1 species
GCCAGGUGCGGUGGCGUGCACCUGUAAUCCCAGCACUUUGGGAGGCUGAGGCAGGUUGAUCACCUGAGGUCAGGAGUUCGAGACCAGCCUGGCCAACAUGGUGAAACCCUGUCUCUA